rnacentral:rRNA from 1 species
AACGGGUGAGUAACGCGUAGGUAACCUGCCUGGUAGCGGGGGAUAACUAUUGGAAACGAUAGCUAAUACCGCAUAAGAGUAGAUGUUGCAUGACAUUUGCUUAAAAGGUGCAAUUGCAUCACUACCAGAUGGACCUGCGUUGUAUUAGCUAGUUGGUGGGGUAACGGCUCACCAAGGCGACGAUACAUAGCCGACCUGAGAGGGUGAUCGGCCACACUGGGACUGAGACACGGCCCAGACUCCUACGGGAGGCAGCAGUAGGGAAUCUUCGGCAAUGGACGGAAGUCUGACCGAGCAACGCCGCGUGAGUGAAGAAGGUUUUCGGAUCGUAAAGCUCUGUUGUAAGAGAAGAACGAGUGUGAGAGUAGAAAGUUCACACUGUGACGGUAUCUUACCAGAAAGGGACGGCUAACUACGUGCCAGCAGCCGCGGUAAUACGUAGGUCCCGAGCGUUGUCCGGAUUUAUUGGGCGUAAAGCGAGCGCAGGCGGUUAGAUAAGUCUGAAGUUAAAGGCUGUGGCUUAACCAUAGUACGCUUUGGAAACUGUUUAACUUGAGUGCAAGAGGGGAGAGUGGAAUUCCAUGUGUAGCGGUGAAAUGCGUAGAUAUAUGGAGGAACACCGGUGGCGA